rnacentral:rRNA from 1 species
CAAGGCUUGACAUCGCCCGGAAACCCUCAGAGAUGGGGGCCUCCUUUGGACUGGGUGACAGGUGGUGCAUGGCUGUCGUCAGCUCGUGUCGUGAGAUGUUGGGUUAAGUCCCGCAACGAGCGCAACCCUUGUUCCAUGUUGCCAGCACGCCCUUCGGGGUGGUGGGGACUCAUGGGAGACCGCCGGGGUCAACUCGGAGGAAGGUGGGGACGACGUCAAGUCAUCAUGCCCCUUAUGUCUUGGGCUUCACGCAUGCUACAAUGGCCGGUACAAAGGGCUGCGAUACCGUAAGGUGGAGCGAAUCCCAAAAAGCCGGUCUCAGUUCGGAUUGGGGUCUGCAACUCGACCCCAUGAAGUCGGAGUCGCUAGUAAUCGCAGAUCAGCAACGCUGCGGUGAAUA